rnacentral:rRNA from 1 species
UGGGGAAUAUUGCACAAUGGGCGAAAGCCUGAUGCAGCAACGCCGCGCGAGGGACGACGGCCUUCGGGUUGUAAACCUCUUUUAGCAAGGAAGAAGCGAAAGUGACGGUACUUGCAGAAAAAGCGCCGGCUAACUACGUGCCAGCAGCCGCGGUAAUACGUAGGGCGCAAGCGUUAUCCGGAAUUAUUGGGCGUAAAGAGCUCGUAGGCGGUUUGUCGCGUCUGCUGUGAAAACCCGAGGCUCAACCUCGGGCCUGCAGUGGGUACGGGCAGACUAGAGUGCGGUAGGGGAGAUUGGAACUCCUGGUGUAGCGGUGGAAUGCGCAGAUAUCAGGAAGAACACCGAUGGCGAAGGCAGAUCUCUGGGCCGUAACUGACGCUGAGGAGCGAAAGGGUGGGGAGCAAACAGGCUUAGAUACCCUGGUAGUCCACCCCGUAAACGUUGGGAACUAGUUGUGGGGUCCAUUCCACGGAUUCCGUGACGCAGCUAACGCAUUAAGUUCCCCGCCUGGGGAGUACGGCCGCAAGGCUAAAACUCAAAGGAAUUGACGGGGUCAUAGCUGUUUCCU